AUAAGUAAUAAAAAUUUUGGGUGCCAAUGUCCUUUAAAAAUCCAGCUUCUUUAGACUUGUAUAAUGCCGCUGUGAGUUACCAACAUUUAAAUCAACUUUAAUGUUUAUCGUAUAUACUUUUAUCCCUCUGAUAAAACGUAGGGACACUUUAUAUCAGAUUAAUAAAAAAUACUUUGCUAAACCUUUUUGGCUAUCAUUCCUUUGCAUUCAAGGGGCGAGGGCUAAUGGCGAUAGAAUUUAUGGGAGAUGCUGUGCAAUAUUUUGGCUUUAACAAACAGGUAUACUCGUGCAGACAAAAAAAGGAAAUGCAUAUAGUUGAUUUUCGGCAGCCAUUUUGUUUUGAAAGCGAUAGUUACUACUCAGGGCAGUCUCGGCAAUAACUAUUGCCUCAGAGUGACUGCUUAGGGACCCUAUCAGAACGCUUGCAUGAAAGCCAUUUUUCACUACUGAAUUUAUACAAAUUAAUUAUAACAAUAGCUUAAUCAAAUGCCUCAUAAGCAGUUGAAGGAUUUUAAAUUGUAGAUGCUUGGGAAUUUCGAGUAGAAGAUUCUAUACUGUACAAUUUUUAGACCUAUAACCAGUAGCAGAAGCGAAAAAUGCAACUACUGACAGGAAAUAUGCCCUCUGGCAGGAAUCGAACCUGCGGUCUGGCGAUUGAGGGGCAGGGCCCUAACUAACUGAGAUCUCGAUAAUUAGAGUAUGUACCCCCAGCUAUGUAUACCACAGCUAAUCUGAGCGCUACUCCGAAAUCCCAGAGCCGCACGAUUUCUGUAAGGGGCAUUUUCUUUUGCUGCCUUUUUCGUAACUGCUCCUGCUUAGGUCUAAAAUUGUAUUUACUCUCCUGUUCUGAACUUCCAGAAAAUCCUUCAAUUGUUAAAUCUAUCAAGCACGAUGCAAAAAAGCUCUUUUGUGUCUGAUAACUAGUUCAAUAGUAAAUAGCAACAAGAUAGGAUUAUAAUUUUAUAGGAAUAGUACAUUUUCGCCGACGUCUUCUACUGAUGCGAUGACAUUCGACUUUAAGGGUCCAUUCACGAUUUCGUCGUUGUAUGCAGAUGUCU